rnacentral:rRNA from 1 species
AUACGUAGGGGGCGAGCGUUGUCCGGAAUUAUUGGGCGUAAAGCGCGCGUAGGCGGCUGGUUAAGUCCUGUGUGAAAGACCACGGCUCAACCGUGGGGGUGCACGGGAAACUGGCCGGCUUGAGUGCAGGAGAGGGGAGCGGAAUUCCCGGUGUAGCGGUGGAAUGCGUAGAGAUCGGGAGGAACACCAGUGGCGAAGGCGGCUCCCUGGCCUGUAACUGACGCUGAGGCGCGAAAGCGUGGGGAGCGAACAGGAUUAGAUACCCUGGUAGCCCACGCCGUAAACGAUGAGUGCUAGGUGUUGGGGGCGUCAGGCCCUCUGUGCCGAAGGUAACCCAAUAAGCACUCCGCCUGGGGAGUACGGCCGCAAGGCUGAA